UUAGUACUUCCUCCGUCCCAAAAAUCUUGUCUUAGAUUUGUCUAGAUAUGGGUGUAUCUAACACUAAAAUGUAACUAGAUACAUCCGUAUUUAGACAAAUCUAAGACAAGAAUUUUGGGAUGGAGGGAGUAUUUU
rnacentral:pre_miRNA from 1 species